rnacentral:lncRNA from 1 species
CGCUCCGCCUCCGCGCUGGGCUCGGCCCGGGGCCGGGCGGUUCGUUUGGACGAGUUCUCGUUAGAACGAGUCGCCCCCGACGAGACGCAGCGGCAACAACCGAGACACCGGGGACACCGCGGGCACCGCAGCACCGAGCGCAACGGGGGGCGCUACACGGACGGGGACACAGGUGGGAACCGGGGGGGUCCUUCGUUAUGGGUCCUGUGGGGUCAAUGGGGGGGUCCCGUGGGUGGCACUGUCCCAUUAUUGGGUCCUAUGGGGUCAGUGGGGGGGUCCCAUGGGGUCCCACUGGGUGCCCACGGGUGGCACCAUCCCAUUAUUGGGUCCUAUGGGGUCAGUGGGGGGGUCCCAUGGGGUCCCACUGGGUGCCCACGGGUGGCACUGUCCCAUUAUUGGGGUCAAUGUGGGGGUCCCAUGGGUGCCCAUAAAUGGCACUGUCUCAUUAUUGGGUCCUAUGGGGUCAAUGGGGGGGUCCCAUGGGUGGCACUGUCCCAUUAUUGAGUCCUAUGGGGGGUCCCAUGGGGUCCCACUGGGUGCCCACGGGUGGCACUGUCCCAUCAUUGGGGUCAAUGGGGGGGUCCCAUGGGUGCCCAUAAAUGGCACUGUCCCAUUAUUGGGUCCUAUGGGGUCAAUGAGAUGGUCCCAUGGGGUCACUGGGUCCCCAUGGGUGGCAUCAUCCCAUUAUUGGGUCCUAUGGGGUCAAUGGGGGGGUCCCAUGGGGUCCCACUGGGUGGCACUGUCCCAUUAUUGGGUCCUAUGGGGUCAAUGGGGGGGUCCCAUGGGGUCCCACUGGGUGCCUGUGGGUGUUACUGUCCCAUUAUUGGGACCUAUGGGGGGUCCCAUGGGGUCCCACUGGGUGCCCACGGGUGGCAUCAUCCCCCAUAUUGCGCCUCCCCAUUAG